rnacentral:ncRNA from 1 species
AAUUGAAUCGGUGAUGGAGUUCGCCGUUAACCGCUGGCAUAAUAAUCAGCUGAUGACUCCUACCUGUUG